rnacentral:misc_RNA from 1 species
GAUGAAGAACGCAGCGAAAUGCGAUAAGUAAUGCGAAUUGCAGAAUUCAGUGAAUCAUCGAAUCUUUGAACGCAUCUUGCGCUCCUUGGUAUUCUGAGGAGCAUGCCUGUUUGAGUGUCAUUAAAUUCUCAACUACACUGACUUUGAAUUGGUGUGGCUUGGAUUUGGGGGGAAAAUUGUUGUGGGCUUUUUGUAUAGUCUGCUCCCCUGAAAUUGAUUAGCGGUACCUUUGUGGAACUGUCUACAGGUGUGAUAAUUAUCUACAUCUUAGACAUCUGCUGGAAUGCUGCUUUCUAAACCUUACUUGUAUUGACAAUCUUGACCUCAAAUCAGGUAGGACUACCCGCUGAACUUAAGCAUAUCAAUAAGCGGAGGA